GGCACUUUGAGGGUGGGGAGGAUGAGACAGGAAUGUGCUGACCGUGGUGGCUGAGAGGCUACAGGAGGCACUCUUUGAAGGGAAGUUAAAGACAAAGAGGAAGAGGCUGUAUUUCAUUCUCCCAGAUGGCUCCUGCCAGCCUCCAGAGAAAAGGCAGCUUUCUUCUUUAGAAAAUUGGCAGGACAAAAGAAGGAAGUCGACUUGGAAAGUCCAGCGACAGACCUCGUGCCCCUGCUCUGGGAGGCCGCAGGUCAAUGGCUCCCCCUGGCUUCAGGGGACACAGCUCAAGCCUGGAAGGAGCCCAUGGCCAGCCUGAAAGCCUUGCUCACACCCAGCAUCCGCAGCUGGGGCAAGAGCGGCUACUCCCAAGACAGGAAAAGACACACAGCCUAACUUUGCCACUGUGAAGGGAGACUUCUCUCUAAUGCCUAACUAGACACUUAUCUUCCAACCUCCUCAAAAUGCCUUCAAUAGAAGUCCCAGGAAGACACGGAGCCCCAGCCGCCCACUGACUCCUACAGGAUGCAGCUGCGCCAGGCAGCCCAUCCCAGGGGGCCCAGGCCAAAGAGGGGCCAGGGUGCUUCCCCUGAGAAUGAAAAGGGAUGUCGGGUAGAGGGGGAGGGUGAUGUGGGACUCGCUGGUGGCUGUUAAAGGAGCUCGCGUCUCGGUUCCUGCAGGAAAAGUGCUUUGAGCACUCGCCUGGCCUGGUGAAGAAGGAAGGCAGUUGGCGGGCAUUUUUGGAAGCUCUCACCCCCCAUGCUGGUCCUGGUACCCCUUCUCCAGGGAUGCGGGGCCCACAUUCAUCACAGUGGGGUUCCAUAGAUGAUGGUCCUGUCAUAUCAGGGUUCCCAUUGAAGGGGGCCCUUUUUGGCACUUUCUUUUAUUCCAUUAGUCUGUUUGCCUGGUCACACAUUUUAUUGCUUUUUCCCGCAAAAGAAUCAAUGUGGGAAUUUAUUUAUUUAUUUAUUGAGACGGAGUCUCACUCUGUCACCCAGGCUGGAGUGCAGUGGUGCAAUCUCAGCUCACUGCAACCUCCGCCUCCCUGGUUCAAGCAAUUCUCCUGCCUCAGCUUCCCAAGUAGCUGGAAUUACAGGCAUCUGCCACCAUGCCCGGCUAAUUUUUUGUAUUUUUUGUAUUUUUUUUUUUUUCUGAGAUGGAGUCUCUCUGUGUUGCCUAAGCUGGAGUACAGUGGCGUGAUCUCAGCUCAUUGCAACUUCUGCCUCCCAGGUUCAAGCAAUUCUUCCUGCCUCAGCCUCCCAAGUAGGUGGAAUUACAGGUGCCCACUACCAUGCCUGGCUAAUUUUUGUAUUUUUUAGUAGAGACGGGAUUUCACCACAUUGGCCAGAUUGGUCUUGAACUCCUGACCUCAUGAUCCACCUACCUUGGCCUCCCAAAGUGCUGGGAUUACAGGUGUGAGCCACUGCACCUGGCUGAUUUUUUAUAUUUUUAGUAGAGACGGGUUUCACCAUGUUAGCCAGGAUGGUCGCAAUCUCCUGACCUCGUGAUCCACCCACCUUGGCCUCCCAAAGUGCUGGGAUUACAGGUGUGAGCCACUGCGCCCAGCCAGGAAUUUAUUUUUAAAUUAAAUUUGAUUUAUUUAGUUUCCUAACCCUUUUAUUGUUUUUAGGCAAUUUUUUGAAGUAUAAUAUGAAUAAGAAAAUUAUGGUGAAUUGUUACAGCAUCGAGACCUCCAAGACCAGGACAUAGAACAAUCCCAGCCCCCAGAAACCUCCACCCCAUAAGGCUCCACAACCCCUCUUCUAACACACAGAUUACCUUCAGCUCUUCUUGAACUUCAUAUAAGUGUGAAACUCACCCAUGCUGUUGAACACAGCACUGUUUCAUUCAUGUAAGCGGCCUUAUAGUAUUCCAUUAUGUGAACGCAGUUUAUUAUCCGUUCUGUUAAUCACAGUAGUUUUUACCUGUUGUGAGUAAGGGUGUCACAAACAGCCUCAUGUGUACUUUGUGGCAGAUGGAAUUCUUGUACAGAUGUGGAACAUACACUGGAUUUGAAGUGCUGGGUUAUAGAGUAUGCACAUGCUCAGCUUUAUCAAACAGGGCUUAACAGCUUUUCAGAGUGGCUGUGCCAACUCACACUCUCCAACAGUCUAUGGGAGUUCCAGUUGCCCCACACCCUUGCCACCACUUGCAAUUGUCAGCUGUAAAUUUUAGCCAUUUUGUCGGGUGUAUAUUGGUAUUUUAUUGUGUUUUUGAUACUCGUUGCUCCCGCAAUCGUUGAAGUUGAGCACGGUUGUAUAUGCUUAUUGGCAAUUUGGAUACUGUCUUUGCGUUUUCAAAAAUUGGGUUUUUGUCUUUUA
ensembl:lncRNA LINC02982 long intergenic non-protein coding RNA 2982